CCCCCCGCUUGAUCUCUUCACAGUUCUGCCCAAGAGUCCACCACCCUCAGGUGAAGCCACCUCUUCCUGCAGAAGUCAGACCAGCAGAAGGAACUUCCAGGCCCAUGGAUUCACACUUCAGAGGGACAAACAAAAAGG